UCCCCGGGGCUGAUGUCACAGCGUGGUGGGUUCUGUGUUCCGGGUACUUGGGCUUUUGGCGUGGGGGUGGGGGCAGGAGCAACAUAGAAUCGUAGAACCAUAGAAUGGUUUGUGCUGGAAGGGACAUUAGGAAUCAUGUAGUUCUGACCCCCGUGCUACAGGUGGGGAGGGAUUCCUUGCAUUAGACCAGGUUGUUCAAGGCCUGGCUCCAAACCUGUCCUUAAGCCUUCAAUGCAGAGGGCAUCUGCAGCUGCUCUGGGCAAUCUGUGCCAGUACUGCACCACCCUCACAGUCGAGAAUUUCCUUCUAAUAUGUGAUCUAAACCUACCCUCUGACAUUUUGAAGCCAUUCCCCCUUGUCCUAUCACUACUUGCCCUCGUAAGAAUUCUACCUCCAGCUUGAGCUGCUUCUGUGUUAGUGCAUUGUGAAUAAGUGGCUUUAUGGAAUGGGACAUCUCUAACUCUGCUAAGAAAACCUGGGAGUCAAUCACUACAGAAGCCUGGUCUCACUGUGUGAGAGUGGGGUGUGUAGGGAAUCAAACGGGGUACCCAUUGGCUCACUGGAGCUGCCCAUGACUCCUGAAUGGUCAGACUGAAGUUUCCUCACCAGUUUGGCAGCCUAGAUAGGAGCCUUCGUCACUACCUUGGGAGCCUCCCUUCUCUAAACAUGCAGCUGAUGGCAGCAGGCACAUUCAACUGGGAUUUUUAAAGCAGGGAGGAGCCAAAGGGUGCCGAGCAUGGAAGUCUAUCCCUUGCCCAGGGGGUGGAAUUGGAGCAAAAACAUGGUUAACCGUGAACACAGCAAACCAGGCGGGGAUAUGACAGUCUUACACUGUG